GACGAACGCUGGCGGCGUGCUUAACACAUGCAAGUCGAACGGAAAGGCCCUGCUUUUGUGGGGUGCUCGAGUGGCGAACGGGUGAGUAACACGUGAGUAACCUGCCCUUGACUUUGGGAUAACUUCAGGAAACUGGGGCUAAUACCGGAUAGGAGCUCCUGCUGCAUGGUGGGGGUUGGAAAGUUUCGGCGGUUGGGGAUGGACUCGCGGCUUAUCAGCUUGUUGGUGGGGUAGUGGCUUACCAAGGCUUUGACGGGUAGCCGGCCUGAGAGGGUGACCGGCCACAUUGGGACUGAGAUACGGCCCAGACUCCUACGGGAGGCAGCAGUGGGGAAUAUUGCACAAUGGGCGGAAGCCUGAUGCAGCAACGCCGCGUGCGGGAUGACGGCCUUCGGGUUGUAAACCGCUUUCGCCUGUGACGAAGCGUGAGUGACGGUAAUGGGUAAAGAAGCACCGGCUAACUACGUGCCAGCAGCCGCGGUGAUACGUAGGGUGCGAGCGUUGUCCGGAUUUAUUGGGCGUAAAGGGCUCGUAGGUGGUUGAUCGCGUCGGAAGUGUAAUCUUGGGGCUUAACCCUGAGCGUGCUUUCGAUACGGGUUGACUUGAGGAAGGUAGGGGAGAAUGGAAUUCCUGGUGGAGCGGUGGAAUGCGCAGAUAUCAGGAGGAACACCAGUGGCGAAGGCGGUUCUCUGGGCCUUUCCUGACGCUGAGGAGUGAAAGCGUGGGGAGCGAACAGGCUUAGAUACCCUGGUAGUCCACGCUGUAAACGGUGGGUACUAGGUGUGGGGUCCAUUCCACGGGUUCCGUGCCGUAGCUAACGCUUUAAGUACCCCGCCUGGGGAGUACGGCCGCAAGGCUAAAACUCAAAGGAAUUGACGGGGCCCCGCACAAGCGGCGGAGCAUGCGGAUUAAUUCGAUGCAACGCGUAGAACCUUACCUGGGUUUGACAUGGAUCGGGAGUGCUCAGAGAUGGGUGUGCCUCUUUUGGGGUCGGUUCACAGGUGGUGCAUGGCUGUCGUCAGCUCGUGUCGUGAGAUGUUGGGUUAAGUCCCGCAACGAGCGCAACCCUUGUUCACUGUUGCCAGCACGUUAUGGUGGGGACUCAGUGGAGACCGCCGGGGUCAACUCGGAGGAAGGUGGGGAUGACGUCAAGUCAUCAUGCCCCUUAUGUCCAGGGCUUCACGCAUGCUACAAUGGCUGGUACAGAGAGUGGCGAGCCUGUGAGGGUGAGCGAAUCUCGGAAAGCCGGUCUCAGUUCGGAUUGGGGUCUGCAACUCGACCUCAUGAAGUCGGAGUCGCUAGUAAUCGCAGAUCAGCAACGCUGCGGUGAAUAAGUUCCCGGG
rnacentral:rRNA from 1 species